GGUGUAGUUCAGUGGCUGAGCAGCUACUGCCUUGCAUGCAGAAGAUCCCAGGUUCAAUCCCUGGCAUCUCCA